GAAUGCUAGCACAAAUGAGGGUUUAGCCAGGAAUAGCCAUGGACCAAAAGAGAAAAGCCUACUUUUUGGAAGUCGAGAUCACACCGAUGGCAGAGGAGAUUGAAGACAUUCAACAUGUAUUAUUCGGUGGAAUAAAUACAGUAACAUCUGAAACGGUGAAGUCGGCGCGCAAAACCCCCACGACUGCAUCACUGGAUCACGAAACGGGGGAAGCUGCGUUGCAGCCCGUGCCCCAGGUGAGUGUGCCCCCGCCACCAAGGGAAGCUGCAUUGCAGCCUGUGCACCAGAUGAGUGUUGAACACAUUGUUUGGG